GACGAACGCUGGCGGCGCGCCUAACACAUGCAAGUCGAACGAGAGAGAAGGAGCUUGCUUCUUCGAUCGAGUGGCGAACGGGUGAGUAACGCGUGAGGAACCUGCCUCAAAGAGGGGAACAACAGUUGGAAACGACUGCUAAUACCGCAUAAGCCCACAGGUCGGCAUCGACCAGAGGGAAAAGGAGUGAUCCGCUUUGAGAUGGCCUCGCGUCCGAUUAGCUAGUUGGUGAGGUAAUGGCCCACCAAGGCGACGAUCGGUAGCCGGACUGAGAGGUUGAACGGCCACAUUGGGACUGAGACACGGCCCAGACUCCUACGGGAGGCAGCAGUGGGGAAUAUUGCACAAUGGGGGAAACCCUGAUGCAGCGACGCCGCGUGGAGGAAGAAGGUCUUCGGAUUGUAAACUCCUGUUGUUGAGGAAGAUAAUGACGGUACUCAACAAGGAAGUGACGGCUAACUACGUGCCAGCAGCCGCGGUAAAACGUAGGUCACAAGCGUUGUCCGGAAUUACUGGGUGUAAAGGGAGCGCAGGCGGGAAGACAAGUUGGGAGUGAAAUCCACGGGCUCAACCCAUGAACUGCUUUCAAAACUGUUUUUCUUGAGUAGUGCAGAGGUAGGCGG
rnacentral:rRNA from 1 species